ensembl:lncRNA
GGGGGGGGAUAUACUUGUGACAUAUCUGUAUUCCCGCUCGUGAAAUCCAUAGAUUUGGACCAAAUGAAUUUAAUUAAAUUGACAGAUUUUCUCAUAUGAGCUGUAACUCGGUAAAAUCAAUGACCAUUUUUGUUUUUAUAUAUUCCCAAAUGUGGCAUUUACCCUUAUAUCACGGAGAUGUCUUACUCUUCAGCCUGCAACGCUUAUGGUGCUAAAAAAGAGCCAGGAAGGAUAGUCAUAAGGUUGAAGAGCAGAUGACAGUUUUGGAGAGGGAGAUAAACUCUGAGUCACCAUCACCAGCCAUUAAAUGUUUGCGGGUCUUUGUCAAUCUCUCCCAGUAGGAGAACGAACAUCAUGUCCCUGUACUAGACUAUUACAGCGAAACAUGUCGACACAACUUCGGAGUUUGAACACAGCUUUACCGGCAAGCGCUGAUGUUGAGGCAGCAGAGCCUAAGAGGAGAUCUGAGAGAUUGGUAAAUAAACCUGCAAUUGCAAAGGCAGAGCCCAAGCCAAAGAAGGAGAAGGCAGCACCUAAGCCCAAGAAGGCUAAAGAGGUGAAAAAGACCGAGCCUGAGAAGGAGGUGCCCGCAGAGAAUGGAGAAGCCAAAGCUGAGGAAGAGGCACCAGAAGAACCUGAACAGAAAGAGGAGGAAGAGGCGGCCGAAUAACAUCUCUCAAACCACAUCUUUUAUCAGUGCUCCCUGUACCUCUUUUUCUUGUACAAUUCAGGGGUAUAUUUUUAUCGACUAUUUUCUAAAUGCAGGUUUUUUAGUAGUUUGAUUGUAGAAACACAUUUUUUUAUGAAAUAAAAAAUACAAUUUGAGAUGGGGAUUUCAUUGCAUCCCAUGUUUUUACAUCUCUGGAACAAUUACGGUCAUUGUAAAUGUCAACGGUUUUUAUUUUCGCUAUGGGGGAGGGGUGGGAAUGGGACAGGUUACUACACCAAGAACAUGCAAGCACGUCGUUUACAGGAUCUGGUCAAAACAACAGAGAGCUUGUCUGAGAGACUAACAUUCCAUAGGCUAUAUGAGGGAAGGUAUACGUAACCUGCAUUGUGUGGUGGGGAUGAAUUAACUCAAGGGGGAACACAUUGUUUUAUUGUUUAUAAUGAGGAAAACAUUUUAAGGUGUUUAAACUGUGUUCCAUAUGUUAACUCUUGUACUCAUUAUGUUUUUCUUUACCAUUCUGCUUAAUAAACCUAUUCCCUAGUACUGGAGUUCCUCCCUAUCAGGCCUGUGCAUUGGGUGUAAUUGGUUGGCUCUGUUCUGUGAUAGCAUUGCAAUAAAUUUGUAUAGCUGCUAUUAAAAGGGGUUUUCAACUUUCUAUAUGCAGUGUGUAAUGGUACAUUGUGAGUAUGGUAAAAUGGAAUUGUGUUCUUAGCCAAGCUAAAGAAGUACAUAAGUUAAAUAUACUGACGAUUAUGGUUCCUUGGAUGCUGAGAAACUGUACAUCCAUUUGAGCUGUCAAAUACACAAACCAGCAGUAGCAAUAUUCAUGUGGGGUUUAGGUAUCAAGUACAAGUGUACAGUUCUUUUAUCCUUUGUUUAUAGAUGUAUCUGUGUAAUGAUUGGUAUAAACAAACCAAUAAAAAUUUGGUUGUACUUGUUUUGUUCUUUGUGUGAUGGAAAUGGACAAUGUCUGAAUCUAAAUAAUCAUGUAAAAACUAAAUGGUUUUAGAUGCCAGUUCUGACCACAUAUGUAAUGCAGUAGCUAAAUAAUACCAGUUCUGAGACUGGCAUGAAAAACGUUACUUGGUUAUUAGACUCCUGUCAGACUCAUUCCAUGGGCACAUUGUUUCCACUCCUCCUAUUUACUUGAUUGAUCAAUUGAGGUGGCUGAUUAGUAAUAACUCACCUCAUUGUUUAGGUCUUAAUUGGACACAAUUUGAAAUAAAAUAAAGAUCAGAAG